GCGCCUUUAGCUCAGUUGGUAGAGCAGCUGACUCUUAAUCAGCGGGUCCACGGUUCGAGCCCGUGAAGGCGUA
rnacentral:tRNA from 1 species